rnacentral:misc_RNA from 1 species
AAACUGCGAUACGUAAUGCGAAUUGCAGGAUUCAGUGAGUCAUCAAAAUUUUGAACGCACAUUGCACUUUCGGAUUUAUCCGUUAGUAUACCUGUAUCAGUGUCGACACCCGAUUGAACUAGCAUAAUUUAUUAUGGUAGAUCAGAUGUUGGAAUAUGCGUGUCUCACGGAUAUUUCGAAAUGAAUACUCUACAAAUAUGGCUUCGUCCUGUAUGCUUGAGUUAGUAUUCUUUAAUGAACUUUAUACUUUCUUUGAAAGUGAAAACAAAUUGACGAAAACUAGCAAUGAAAGUGUGCAAAAGUUGCUUUUAUUUGCGUAUCUGUAAGUCGGCCUGAUAUCAGGUAAGAUUACCCGCUGAAUUUAA